rnacentral:rRNA from 1 species
CCCUUAGAUGUUCUGGGCCGCACGCGUGCUACACUGAGUGGAUCAGCGGGUCAGGUUGCGCGAAAGUGUUUCCUAAUCUUUAAAUCCGCUCGUGAUGGGGAUUGACGGUUGCAAUUUUCCGUCAUGAACGAGGAAUACCUUGUAAGCGCCGGUCAUCAUCCCGCGCUGAAUACGUCCCUGCCCUUUGUACACACCGCCCGUCGCUCCUACCGAUUGAGUGGUCCGGUGAGGCUUUGGGAUCUGAGCGGAAAGAGCGUUUCGCUGUUUCUGCCCGGAAAACUCAGUCGAACCUUAUCAUUUAGAGGAAGGAGAAGUCGUAACA